rnacentral:rRNA from 1 species
CUACGGGGGGCAGCAGUGAGGAAUAUUGCACAAUGGGGGGAACCCUGAUGCAGCAACGCCGCGUGGAGGAUGACGCAUUUCGGUGUGUAAACUCCUUUUAUAUGUCAAGAAAAUGACGGUAGCAUAUGAAUAAGCACCGGCUAACUCCGUGCCAGCAGCCGCGGUAAUACGGAGGGUGCAAGCGUUACUCGGAAUCACUGGGCGUAAAGGACGCGCAGGCGGGUUGGAAAGUCAGGUGUGAAAUCCUACAGCUUAACUGUAGAACUGCACUUGAAACUUCUAAUCUAGAGUAUGGGAGGGGGAGAUGGAAUUAGUGGUGUAGGGGUAAUAUCCGUAGAUAUCACUAGGAAUACCUAAAGCGAAGGCGAUCUCCUGGAACAUUACUGACGCUAAGGCGUGAAAGCGUGGGGAGCAAACAGGAUUAGAUACCCCGGUAGUC